ACGUGCCGCGCUCUUCUCGCCUUCCACCUCUGCUUGUAAAGGUCUCGGGUGGCCAUGAAAGCGGGUGGUGGUCUGGCGGCGCUGUUGGCUCAGACGGUGGUGGCGGGCGACGUAAACGCCUGUUGUGGUGUGCUGCGGCGCGUUUUUAGUGAAACACUGCAGGAGGACCGCAGAUUGACGGCGCUAGCCUCGAACGCAGCACGCAGCGUGCGUCGUCGCGGUCACCAUUCGGCCGGAACGUCCCCCUCUCUUGCCACAGCGCCGGCGGCCGCGACAACGACGCUGUCUUCCUCCGCAUCCUCUUCUUCCUUAUCAUCCUCUUCAGCCUUGGCGGCCUCUGGUGGGCACAAUGAUGUCGUGAAUUUUGCCCGGUAUGCACAGCACCAGCGCGCCCAGGCGCACUCCUUUGCGAACGCGGCUGCCCAGGCCGUGCUACGCACCAGCUUUGUGUCACCUGAUGGUGCUCAGCCUGGGGCGGUGGCAGCGGCGGGCACGAAAGGGCGCCAAACAGAUGCGGGGGUCCCUCAAUCGCAUCGGGCCUCCACGGCUUUCGGCGCACCGACGGACAUCCCCAUCGCUCAGCGAGUGUGGAAGCUCGCCAGGAGCACCCUGUCGACCGACUCGGCGCUUGUGAAAACCUCGUCGCUCCAUGUGCUCUGCCACACCGCUCAACGCACGGGCUACUGGGAGGAAGCGCUGCACUUCUGCGAGUACCUGCCGAAGUCACCAGCACCGUUGUUUCUCUCCUCCCUCCUGCGGCCAGACAACGUGAACCCGAUUCUCCGGCACUGCGCCACGCGAGGUUGGGCAUUAGACGUGACCAACGCGAUUCGAGUACUGGCCGAAGAGCACGGCAGCUGGUCGGCAGCCUUGGUUGUGGCGCAGGACGCCGAACACCGUCUCCCGUGUGGCGAGGCCUACUCUCUUGGCGUUCUGGUGCCAUAUCUCGCCGCGAGUGGGGCAACGGCGCAGGCGCGGCAGCUAUUCGAAUCGGGACUGGCGCACGGUGCCCUCAUCGAUCCUGUUCUUGUGCAGCAGCUUGUCAUGCAAACAGCCACGCUGCGGCAGUGGGAAACGUGUCUGCACAUGCUGCAGUGCCUCUACCGCACCCAGGAAACCGCGCAGCUGCUGCCCGCCGACGCGGACUUCUUCUGUCGGCUGAUGGAGGUGUCACCCGGGUGGGUCACCUCGCUGCAGCUGCUGCACAUGGCGCGCGCCUCCGAUGUGAAGCCGAACGAGCGCACCGUGGCUAUCUUGCUAACGCAGUGUGACCAGGCCGGCGCGUGGCGCGAGGCGGCGGCGGUGUACGACAUGGCCGUCAAGGAGGACUUCAUUGACAGCCUCGCCGUCGGUUCAACCUAUCACACGCUGGUGCGAUCGUUCAGUGCGAUUCAGCAGUGGCAAAAGGCGCUGGAGGCACUCUCGUGGAUGUCGAAGGCGGACGACGCCUCGCUGACCGCUGGCAUGACGGAGCUGGUGACGCUGUGCGAGCAAUCAGGGCAGUGGAAGGCGGCCCUCUCCAUCGGGUCCACGCUCAUGGACAGCGGCGUGCAUUUGCUUUCGGCACAGACUUCCAUGGCGCUUCUCUUUCUGUGUGCCAAAGGUGCGCAGUGGGAGUUUGCCACGCGGCUCUUCGAUGCCCAGCUCCAUGACGUCCGCGUCGACCCACACCCGCUGUCCCUGUGCGCUGUUAUGCAAGCGUGCGUGGCGGCGCGGCAGUGGGAAGCGGCGUUGCGCGUCUACGGCGGGGCGAAGUCCUCGCAGCCGCGCAUGGUGGUACCACCCCUCGCCCACCGCAUCGCCGUCAAAGCAUGCGUGUCGGCUGGCAAGUGGAAUCUGGCCAUUGCGGUGCUCGACGCCACGCGGCAGGAUGGAUUGCCGCUGGACAACUACAGCCAGCGCCUGGGCCUCUGGGCUGCCGCUAUUCAAGGGCAGUGGGAGCUAUCGCUCGCAUUUUUUCAAGGCAUCCCACGGCGCUCUCGCACCCCGCAGGACCGCAUGAUGGUGCGCCAUGUGACGCGAGCCAUCAGCCCAGCUGUGGACGCCAUCGCUCUACGUUUCCUCCAGUCGCACUAGUUGCGGCUGCUGCGGAAUGCGUGAAGCAGCAAGACGGGGGAAGGAGGGGGAAGUCACGACGGUGGGCGCUGGAGGUAGUCCCGUGUUGACGCCAGCCGCCAGCCUCCCUCCUUCCCGUGUCUCACAGCACAUCGAACGGAAGCGCCAUUCCCAUUUUCUCACAAGCGCUUCCCCUCUCUACCCACACCUCGGAUGCAUAUCUAAGACCCCACGUGUAAAACGGCGCACCCGCUAAGCACCCCGCCCCCUCCCAACACACACACGUACAACACGAGAAAGCAGAACGCCUUGACGGCACCCCACCGCGGUGCCGAUGGCGCAGCCAGAGCAAAAAGGUGCCAGACGAAGAGAAAGGAGCGUGGCCCACACACGCAUAGAAGCAGCGUCAUCCCAGACUCUUGCCACGUCCAUCACAUAGGAAGCGUACUCCGCGGUAAGCUCGAUAACGCGUGCCAAGGUGUUUGCGCCUUCAUCGUGUCUCGUAUCCUCUCUUUUCUCUCAUUCAUCAAUGAACUCUUGUCUGACAUGCGCACAGGUGUUGUUUCGCAUCACCACCACCACGACCACCCUGCCCCUUCCACCCAUUCUCUCCCUAUCCCGCCACCUUUCCCCAG
rnacentral:misc_RNA from 1 species